GACGAACGCUGGCGGCGUGCUUAACACAUGCAAGUCGAACGGUAAGGCCCUUCGGGGUCCACGAGUGGCGAACGGGUGAGUAACGCGUGAGUAACCUGCCCUUCACUCUGGGAUAACAGUUGGAAACGGCUGCUAAUACCGGAUAUUCAGCUCCUGUCGCAUGGUGGGGGUUGGAAAGUUUUGGUGGUGGAGGAUGGGCUCGCGUCCUAUCAGCUUGUUGGUGGGGUGAUAGCCUACCAAGGCGUCGACGGGUAGCCGGCCUGAGAGGGCGACCGGCCACAUUGGGACUGAGAUACGGCCCAAACUCCUACGGGAGGCAGCAGUGGGGAAUAUUGCACAAUGGGCGGAAGCCUGAUGCAGCAACGCCGCGUGCGGGAUGACGGCCUUCGGGUUGUAAACCGCUUUCAGCAGGGACGAAGCGCAAGUGACGGUACCUGCAGAAGAAGCACCGGCUAACUACGUG
rnacentral:rRNA from 1 species